AUUGAACGCUGGCGGCAGGCCUAACACAUGCAAGUCGAGCGGAGCGGCGGACGGGUGAGUAAUGCCUGGGAAUCUGCCUGGUAGUGGGGGAUAACGUCAGGAAACGGGCGCUAAUACCGCAUACUAUCAGAUGAGCCUAGGUCGGAUUAGCUAGUUGGUGGGGUAAAGGCCUACCAAGGCAACGAUCCGUAACUGGUCUGAGAGGAUGAUCAGUAAAACUGGAACUUAGACACGGUCCAUACUCCUCCGGUAGGCAGCAGUGGGGAAGAUGGGACAAUGGGCGAAAGCCUGAUCCAGCCAGGCCGCGUGUGUGAAGAAGGUCUUCGGAUUGUAAAGCACUUUAAGUUGGGAGGCGGUACCAACAGAAUAAGCACCGGCUAACUUCGUGCCAGCAGCCGCGGUAAUUC
rnacentral:rRNA from 1 species